UACAGGGGGGGCAAGCGUUGUUCGGAAUUACUGGGCGUAAAGGGCUCGUAGGUGGCCAACUAAGUCAGACGUGAAAUCCCUCAGCUUAACUGGGGAACUGCGUCUGAUACUGGAUGGCUUGAGUUUGGGAGAGGGAUGCGGAAUUCCAGGUGUAGCGGUGAAAUGCGUAGAUAUCUGGAGGAACACCGGUGGCGAAGGCGGCAUCCUGGCCCUGACCUGACGCUGAGGCGCGAUAGCGUGGGGAGCAAACGGG
rnacentral:rRNA from 1 species